UACGGGUUGUGAGAGCAAGAGCCCGGAGAUGGAACCUGAGACAAGGUUCCAGGCCCUACGGGGUGCAGCAGGCGCGAAACCUCCGCAAUGUGAGAAAUCGCGACGGGGGGAUCCCAAGUGCCAUUCUUAACGGGAUGGCUUUUCAUUAGUGUAAAGAGCUUUUGGAAUAAGGGCUGGGCAAGACCGGUGCCAGCCGCCGCGGUAACACCGGCAGCUCUAGUGGUAGCAGUUUUUAUUGGGCCUAAAGCGUCCGUAGCCGGUUUAAUAAGUCUCUGGUGAAAUCCUGUAGCUUAACUGUGGGAAUUGCUGGAGAUACUAUUAGACUUGAGACCGGGAGAGGUUAGAGGUACUCCCAGGGUAGAGGUGAAAUUCUGUAAUCCUGGGAGGACCGCCUGUUGCGAAGGCGUCUAACUGGAACGGUUCUGACGGUGAGGGACGAAAGUUAGGGGCGCGAACCGGAUUAGAUACCCGGGUAGUCAUAACCGUAAACGAUGCGGACUUGGUGUUGGGGUGGCUUUGAGCUGCUCCAGUGCCGAAGGGAAGCUGUUAAGUCCGCCGCCUGGGAAGUACGGUCGCAAGACUGAAACUUAAAGGAAUUGGCGGGGGAGCA
rnacentral:rRNA from 1 species